GACGAAGGGGGCUAGCGUUGUUCGGAAUUACUGGGCGUAAAGCGCGUGUAGGCGGUUAUCCAAGUCGGGUGUGAAAGCCUUGAGCUCAACUCCAGAACUGCCUUCGAUACUGGGAAGCUCGAGUCCGGGAGAGGUGAGUGGAACUGCGAGUGUAGAGGUGAAAUUCGUAGAUAUUCGCAAGAACACCGGUGGCGAAGGCGGCCAACUGGACCAUUACUGACGCUGAGGCGCGAAAGCGUGGGGAGCAAACAGG
rnacentral:rRNA from 1 species